GUUAAAUUUGAAUCUCAAAUAAACAACAAAUAUAUUUUGAGUACAAAUGUGUCCUAGAUAUUGCAUGAAGAUAUACUUAUGAAAGUACACACAUAUAUAUAUAUAGUUUAUCUGAAAUUCAAAUUUAAUUGAGCAUUCUGUACUUUAUUCGGCAACCCUAGCCCUGAAGCUAUCAAUAAGGAAUUUCUCUUAGGGCUAAAUAUUAAUCCAGGUGGAAGAGAAUAUGGGGAAAGUAGAUUCUGAGCUUUUUAAUGUGUCCAGGGUCCUGCAGAUUGUACUGUGCUUACUUUACAGCUUCUCUGUGAGCUAGGACCAAAGUCCUUAAUCCCCACUUUACGAGUGUAGACUCUGAGUUAAAGAAUUGCACAAGAUUACAAAGCAAAGUAGAAGAGCUGGGAUUCAAAUUAAGAUUCUUGGGUGUUUUGUAGGGGAUUCUGUCAAUCACUACACUAAACAAACAUCAGGUAAGGAAGAAUUUAAGAGACUGGCUGGAAAGCAUCGAUUCAGCUAGCAAAAAUACCUGGCACAGGCAUGGACACUCUUUUCUGUUUUCAUGCCUAAGUAAGCAGUCAUCUGUCUGUGUUCUUAACAGGCUGAGAGUGGCCAUUAAGAAAUGAAAGCGAGUUUAGAUUUCACCAGCGUGUUUGGAUUUUGCAUUUCAAGAAACCAAGAUCAGCUCAACACUUUAAGCACUGGGACCCAGCUACCACUAUUAUUUAAGCAAACAGCUACUCUGGUGAAUUUGAAAAAGUCAUGCAAGGAGUAGCAAUUGCCUGUGACAACUACCAGUGAAGAAUAUUGUUGCAGAAAUUCUGAACUGCCCCAGAGCCGUGGCAAGAAAGUCCAGAGAUUAUUAUUGGGUAAUGACAUUGGAAAUAAAAAAGUAUAUAGUAUUACAGUAUUGAGCUAUUAGAGUAGGGAAUCAAUUCAAGGAGACAAGCAAAAUUUAUAUACUUUAUUGAUUUUAAAUUUUACAUGCUCUGCUCUAUGAGUAAAUCUUUUGUAGUAAUUCUAAAGCUUUGAAACAUUGUAAAUAACAGGGACUGUGGGGAGUUCAGGCCAGCCAUUUUUUCAUACUGAAAGUAUAUAGCCUUUAAUGUAUAUUAGAAGAAAUUGGGGUAAUGAAAUACCUUAAAGCUAACUUAAGUCAGGGCUAGUGUGGGUUUUUUUGGUCUCCAAAGAGUGAGCGUGUAUCAGGUAGUGAAGUAAUUCCAGGUAGCAUUGUACUUAAGGAAAAGCAUAAUUAAAUUGAUCCUAUUGUAUUACAUAAAUCCAACAUAUCCUGUGUAAACUCA
rnacentral:lncRNA from 1 species